rnacentral:misc_RNA from 1 species
AAUCACGGUAUACGAUUCUACGAUGAAAGACUAUUCUUUGAAAGGAUCUGGUUUCAGCUCGUUCGCACAUUGAAUUUAGAUCACGAAUUGAUUAAUUAAUAAUUUGCAUUCAUUUCUGAGAAUUGUUUGUGCGAUUAUUAUAAACAACGAUGGAGAUUAUAUCGCUAGUAAUUUCGCUAAAAAUAGGCCGAGAUAGAUCGCUCUGAGAAUUAAUUGCUAGUCGUGUAAGUAGAUGAACAUAAACGUACGCUAUACUGUAUACUAAAAAUGAAACAACGACGAUUCAUAGCACAUCUUUACGUACACAAUUCGAGCGGAAACUUAUAUAUAUGUAUUUGUACAUGGCAGCACGAUAUUUUUAAACGAACGUCAAUAAGCAGUACCUCGUUAAAAUCUCGACGCAAAGAUUGCAACAAUAAUACCUAAUUAUAAAGAAUACUUUUGAUAAUACUUUUUUGUAUUAUCUGUCUACGAUAUUUCCUCCGCCAUUAAGAUUUUAUAACGAGAGAAAAUAAUCGGAAAUAUAAAACGAAGUAUACAUAUAUAGGGUGAUGUGUCUUGAUCCAUUAAUGAAUACAUAUUGGACAAAAUCAUUAAUUCGACAUAUGUAUAUUUUUUAAAUACCCUAUAUAUAUAAGCUUAAUACUCAGAUGUAACGUCUUUUUGCUUCGAGUAUUACAUAGUUUCGAAAAAAUCACUACGCAGUUUUUGUAAUUUCACCAGCUAUUUACAAUGAAAGAUUAUUCCAUACACAUCGUGUCGGACCAUUAGCUGUAAGAUACCGAUAUUUUUACAUCAUGCAAAUAUUUGAACGCAAGUUGAACUGAUGCUACAUCGAAUGAUUGUAUAAAAAAAAAAAAGAAAGAAGAUCAGUAAGUUCCAUUUAAUUACGAUCGAUCGCCUUGUUUCGUGGCAUCUGGAUUAUCCGCAAAACGCGUAACAUUUUAAUUGUUAGAUUACUUUCAUCUUAACAGCGAGUCGGUAAAAAGUAUUUAAAAAAAAAUUCAAAUAUGUAUAUCCGUAUCAAAUGUAAAAUGUCGUCGGAAGUUCAUUGAAAAAUUAGAUAAAAGUAAGUCGAAAUUACAAGUUAUAAAAGUACAAGAUUGAUGCUAUAGAAACUAAUUUCUAUUGCCAGUUGUACAAAAAGGAUUGUGAUUCAUCACAUCUUAAACUCAUCAGUCGCAUAGAAUAUCACAGGAACGUUAGUAGGUGCCAUUGGAUUUAUGUAUAUCGAAUAGAUAGUACAUUGCUCGUGCACGUAUUAAGAAAGUAUAAAGAUGUAUAGAAAAAAAACAGAUCUUAAAGUUAUCCUGUUUCAAUUUAAAAUCCAAAGUCUGUCAGUAUACCCUUGUUACUAAGGCAAUACUUUGCCAGUACAUUGCAUAUUUAAGAAGCUUUCUCAAUGUACUUUAGUGAAUCGUCAAA